AGGGCGCACGGUGGAUGCCUUGGCACCAGGAACCGAUGAAGGACGUGGGAGGCCACGAUAGUCCCCGGGGAGUCGUCAACCAGGCUUUGAUCCGGGGGUUUCCGAAUGGGGAAACCCGGCAGUCGUCAUGGGCUGUCACCCGCUGCUGAACACAUAGGCAGUGUGGAGGGAACGCGGGGAAGUGAAACAUCUCAGUACCCACAGGAAGAGAAAACAAAAGUGAUUCCGUGAGUAGUGGCGAGCGAAAGCGGAUGGGGCUAAACCGUAUGUGUGUGAUACCCGGCAGGGGUUGCAGGCUUGGGGUUGUGGGACGUGUCUGAUGGGUCUGCCGGCUUGUCGACGUGUACGUGUAGUGGUAGUCGAAGUCGUGGUGAGUGCGACGGCGUAGAGGGUGUGACCCCCGUAGACGAAACUGCUGCAUGGCGUGACGCUGUUCCCGAGUAGCACCGGGCCUGUGAAAUCCGGUGUGAAUCUGCCAGGACCACCUGGUAAGCCUGAAUACUACCUGUUGACCGAUAGUGAAUCAGUACCGUGAGGGAAUGGUGAAAAGUACCCCGGGAGGGGAGUGAAAUAGUACCUGAAACCGUGCGCUUACAAUCCGUCGGAGCCUUACGGGGUGACGGCGUGCCUUUUGAAGAAUGAGCCUGCGAGUUAGUGAUACGUGGCGAGGUUAACCCGUGUGGGGAAGCCGUAGCGAAAGCGAGUCUGAAUAGGGCGAUUCAGUCGCGUGUCCUAGACCCGAAGCGGAGUGAUCUACCCAUGGCCAGGUUGAAGCGCGUGUAAGAGCGCGUGGAGGACCGAACCCACUUCAGUUGAAAAUGGAGGGGAUGAGCUGUGGGUAGGGGUGAAAGGCCAAUCAAACUCGGAAAUAGCUGGUUCUCCGCGAAAUCUAUUUAGGUAGAGCCUCGAGUGAAUACCCCAGGGGGUAGAGCACUGGAUGGGCUAUGGGGACUCACCGUCUUACUGAUCCUAACCAAACUCCGAAUACCUGGAUGUCUUAUCCGGCAGACACACUGUGGGUGCUAACGUUCAUAGUGGAAAGGGAAACAACCCUGACCGCCAGCUAAGGUCCCCAAGUCAUGGCUAAGUGGGAAAGGAUGUGAGGAUCCCAAAACAACCAGGAUGUUGGCUUAGAAGCAGCCACCAUUUAAAAAGUGCGUAAUAGCUUACUGGUCUAGUGAGCCCGCGCCGAAAAUGUAACGGGGCUAAAGCACUGUACCGAAGCUGCGGAUUGGAGAAAAGACUGCGGUCUUUUCCCAGUGGUAGGCGAGCAUUCUCUGUGCUGCGAAGGUGGACGGGAACGACCACUGGAGCGGAGGGAAGAGCUUAUGCAGGCUUGAGUAGCGAUAAAACAGGUGAGAAACCUGUUCGCCGUAAGCCCAAGGGUUCCUGGGUCAAGUUAAUCUUCCCAGGGUUAGUCGGUCCCUAAGCCGAGGCCGAAAGGCGUAGGUGAUGGAAAGCAGGUUAAUAUUCCUGCACCACCAAGGAUGGCGUUGAAGCAAGCGGGGACGGAGAAGGGUAGCCGAGCACGGCGUUGGUCGUCCGUGUUCAAGCCCGUAGGCUGAGCUGUUAGGACCCGAUAGGGACAAACGACGGUUCGCUAGGCCGAGAGGUGAUGAGGUCCGCUCUUACGAGCGGGACACUGAGUAAUCCCAUGCUUCCGAGAAAAGCCGCGUGCAGAGCCUCUUUGGUGAUCGUACUGCAAACCGACUCAGGUGGGCGGGAAGAAUAUUCCAAGGCGCGUGAGAGAACCCCGGUUAAGGAACUCGGCAAAUUGACACCGUAACUUCGGGAGAAGGUGUGCCCUCGUUACGUGAACCGCGCACGCGGGGAGCGGAAGGGGGUUGCAGAGAAUCGGGGGUAGCGACUGUUUACCAAAAACCCAGCACUGUGCGAACUCGGAAGAGGACGUAUACGGUGUGAUGCCUGCCCGGUGCCGGAAGGUUAAAAGGAGGGGUUAGCGCAAGCGAAGCUCCGUAGCCAAGUCCCCGUGAAUGUCGGCCGUAACUAUAACGGUCCUAAGGUAGCGAAAUUCCUUGUCGGGUAAGUUCCGACCUGCACGAAUGGAGUAACGACUUCCCCGCUGUCUCAACCAUGAACUCGGCGAAAUUGCAUUACGAGUAAAGAUGCUCGUUACGCGCAGAAGGACGGAAAGACCCCGAGACCUUUACUAUAGUUUGGUAUUGGUGUUCGGUGUGGCUUGUGUAGGAUAGGUGGGAGACUGUGAAGCCGGCACGCCAGUGCUGGUGGAGUCAUCGUUGAAAUACCACUCUGGUCACUCUGGACAUCUAACUUCGGCCCGUGAUCCGGGUCAGGGACAGUGCCUGAUGGGUAGUUUAACUGGGGCGGUUGCCUCCCAAAAUGUAACGGAGGCGCCCAAAGGUCCCCUCAGCCUGGUUGGCAAUCAGGUGUCGAGUGCAAGUGCACAAGGGGGCUUGACUGUGAGAGAGACAUCUCGAGCAGGGACGAAAGUCGGGACUAGUGAUCCGGCACUGGCUUGUGGAAGCGGUGUCGCUCAACGGAUAAAAGGUACCUCGGGGAUAACAGGCUGAUCUUGCCCAAGAGUCCAUAUCGACGGCAUGGUUUGGCACCUCGAUGUCGGCUCGUCGCAUCCUGGGGCUGGAGUAGGUCCCAAGGGUUGGGCUGUUCGCCCAUUAAAGCGGUACGCGAGCUGGGUUCAGAACGUCGUGAGACAGUUCGGUCCCUAUCCGCUGCGCGCGUUGGAAAUUUGAGAAGGUCUGUCCUUAGUACGAGAGGACCGGGACGGACGAACCUCUGGUAUGUCAGUUGUACCGCCAGGUGCAUGGCUGAUUAGCUACGUUCGGGAUGGAUAACCGCUGAAAGCAUCUAAGCGGGAAGCCCACCUUAAGAUUAGAUUUCCCUAAAGAGCCGUUGU
rnacentral:rRNA from 1 species